GGAAGCAUGGAGCAAUUGGUUGGCUCUCCUGACUGAAAUGCCUUUUUAGGCAUUCAACGAUUCCUAUUUAAAAAAUAGAAAUCAUUGAGUUAAAAUUAGGUCUUUUAAAGCUUGUAGGUUCGAGUCCUACUGCUUCCA
rnacentral:tRNA from 1 species